rnacentral:rRNA from 1 species
UAGAUAUCACAAAGAACACCGAUUGCGCAGGCAGCUUACUAAACCAUAACUGACGCUCAUGCACGAAGGCGUGGGGAUCAAACAGGAUUAGAUACCCUGGUAGUCCACGCAGUAAACGAUGAUUACUGGCUGUUUGCGAUACAAUGUAAGCGGCUGAGCGAAAGCGUUAAGUAAUCCACCUGGGGAGUACGUUCGCAAGAAUGAAACUCAAAGGAAUUGACGGGGGCCCGCACAAGCGGAGGAACAUGUGGUUUAAUUCGAUGAUACGCGAGGAACCUUACCCGGGCUUGAAAUGCAUCUGACGUAUUCGGAAACGGAUAUUCCCUACGGGGCAGAUGUGUAGGUGCUGCAUGGUGUCGUCAGCUCGUGCCGUGAGGUGUCGCUUAAGUGCCAUAACGAGCGCAACCCUCAUCGUCAGUUACCAUCAGGUAAAGCUGGGGACUCUGGCGAGACUUGCCAUCGUAAGAUGCCAAGGAAAGUGGGGGGAUUUGACCGUUCAAAAUCAAGCACCGGGCCUUUACCGUUCCGGG